CAUCUACAUAUAAGUGACCAAUG
rnacentral:snRNA from 1 species